UACGAAGGGUGCAAGCGUUAAUCGGAAUUACUGGGCGUAAAGCGUGCGCAGGCGGUUUUGUAAGUUUGUCGUGAAAUCCCCGGGCUCAACCUGGGAAUGGCGAUGAAGACUGCAAGGCUAGAGUUUGGCAGAGGGGGGUAGAAUUCCACGUGUAGCAGUGAAAUGCGUAGAUAUGUGGAGGAACACCGAUGGCGAAGGCAGCCCCCUGGGUCAAAACUGACGCUCAUGCACGAAAGCGUGGGGAGCAAACAGG
rnacentral:rRNA from 1 species